rnacentral:rRNA from 1 species
AUAAUGGGUCAGCGACUUAUAUUCUGUAGCAAGGUUAACCGAAUAGGGGAGCCGAAGGGAAACCGAGUCUUAACUGGGCGUUAAGUUGCAGGGUAUAGACCCGAAACCCGGUGAUCUAGCCAUGGGCAGGUUGAAGGUUGGGUAACACUAACUGGAGGACCGAACCGACUAAUGUUGAAAAAUUAGCGGAUGACUUGUGGCUGGGGGUGAAAGGCCAAUCAAACCGGGAGAUAGCUGGUUCUCCCCGAAAGCUAUUUAGGUAGCGCCUCGUGAAUUCAUCUCCGGGGGUAGAGCACUGUUUCGGCAAGGGGGUCAUCCCGACUUACCAACCCGAUGCAAACUGCGAAUACCGGAGAAUGUUAUCACGGGAGACACACGGCGGGUGCUAACGUCCGUCGUGAAGAGGGAAACAACCCAGACCGCCAGCUAAGGUCCCAAAGUCAUGGUUAAGUGGGAAACGAUGUGGGAAGGCCCAGACAGCCAGGAUGUUGGCUUAGAAGCAGCCAUCAUUUAAAGAAAGCGUAAUAGCUCACUGGUCGAGUCGGCCUGCGCGGAAGAUGUAACGGGGCUAAACCAUGCACCGAAGCUGCGGCAGCGACGCUGAUGCGUUGUUGGGUAGGGGAGCGUUCUGUAAGCCUGUGAAGGUGUGCUGUGAGGCAUGCUGGAGGUAUCAGAAGUGCGAAUGCUGACAUAAGUAACGAUAAAGCGGGUGAAAAGCCCGCUCGCCGGAAGACCAAGGGUUCCUGUCCAACGUUAAUCGGGGCAGGGUGAGUCGACCCCUAAGGCGAGGCCGAAAGGCGUAGUCGAUGGGAAACAGGUUAAUAUUCCUGUACUUGGUGUUACUGCGAAGGGGGGACGGAGAAGGCUAUGUUGGCCGGGCGACGGUUGUCCCGGUUUAAGCGUGUAGGCUGGUUUUCCAGGCAAAUCCGGAAAAUCAAGGCUGAGGCGUGAUGACGAGGCACUACGGUGCUGAAGCAACAAAUGCCCUGCUUCCAGGAAAAGCCUCUAAGCAUCAGGUAACAUCAAAUCGUACCCCAAACCGACACAGGUGGUCAGGUAGAGAAUACCAAGGCGCUUGAGAGAACUCGGGUGAAGGAACUAGGCAAAAUGGUGCCGUAACUUCGGGAGAAGGCACGCUGAUAUGUAGGUGAAGUCCCUCGCGGAUGGAGCUGAAAUCAGUCGAAGAUACCAGCUGGCUGCAACUGUUUAUUAAAAACACAGCACUGUGCAAACACGAAAGUGGACGUAUACGGUGUGACGCCUGCCCGGUGCCGGAAGGUUAAUUGAUGGGGUCAGCGCAAGCGAAGCUCUUGAUCGAAGCCCCGGUAAACGGCGGCCGUAACUAUAACGGUCCUAAGGUAGCGAAAUUCCUUGUCGGGUAAGUUCCGACCUGCACGAAUGGCGUAAUGAUGGCCAGGCUGUCUCCACCCGAGACUCAGUGAAAUUGAACUCGCUGUGAAGAUGCAGUGUACCCGCGGCAAGACGGAAAGACCCCGUGAACCUUUACUAUAGCUUGACACUGAACAUUGAGCCUUGAUGUGUAGGAUAGGUGGGAGGCUUUGAAGUGUGGACGCCAGUCUGCAUGGAGCCGGCCUUGAAAUACCACCCUUUAAUGUUUGAUGUUCUAACGUUGACCCGUGAUCCGGGUUGCGGACAGUGUCUGGUGGGUAGUUUGACUGGGGCGGUCUCCUCCUAAAGAGUAACGGAGGAGCACGAAGGUUGGCUAAUCCUGGUCGGACAUCAGGAGGUUAGUGCAAUGGCAUAAGCCAGCUUGACUGCGAGCGUGACGGCGCGAGCAGGUGCGAAAGCAGGUCAUAGUGAUCCGGUGGUUCUGAAUGGAAGGGCCAUCGCUCAACGGAUAAAAGGUACUCCGGGGAUAACAGGCUGAUACCGCCCAAGAGUUCAUAUCGACGGCGGUGUUUGGCACCUCGAUGUCGGCUCAUCACAUCCUGGGGCUGAAGUAGGUCCCAAGGGUAUGGCUGUUCGCCAUUUAAAGUGGUACGCGAGCUGGGUUUAGAACGUCGUGAGACAGUUCGGUCCCUAU